UACGAAGGGGGGCUAGCGUUGCUCGGAAUCACUGGGCGUAAAGGGAGCGUAGGCGGAUAGUUAAGUCAGAGGUGAAAUCCCAGAGCUCAACUCUGGAACUGCCUUUGAUACUGGAUGUCUUGAGUGUGAGAGAGGUAUGUGGAACUCCGAGUGUCGAGGAGGUAAAUUCGUAGAUAUUCGGAAGAACACCAGUGGCGAAGGCGACAUACUGGCUCAUUACUGACGCUGAGGCUCGAAAGCGUGGGGAGCAAACAGG
rnacentral:rRNA from 1 species